rnacentral:rRNA from 1 species
UACGGAGGGUGCAAGCGUUAUCCGGAUUUACUGGGUUUAAAGGGUGCGUAGGUGGGUUGGGAAGUCAGUGGUGAAAUACUUUCGCUUAACGAAGGAACUGCCAUUGAUACUAUCAAUCUUGAAUGUAGUGGAGGUAGGCGGAAUGCGUCAUGUAGCGGUGAAAUGCUUAGAUAUGACGCAGAACACCAAUAGCGAAGGCAGGUCUCUGGGUGCCUCCUGACACUUCUAGGACGAAAGCGUGGGGAGCGAAUGGG